AGGCACGAAAGCGUGGGGAGCAAACAGGAUUAGAUACCCUGGUAGUCCACGCCCUAAACGAUGAGUACUAAACAAUUGGAUAAAACCAGUGUUGAAGUUAACACAUUAAGUACUCCGCCUGAGUAGUACGUACGCAAGUAUGAAACUUAAAGGAAUUGACGGGACUCCGCACAAGCGGUGGAUCAUGUUGUUUAAUUCGAAGGUACCCGAAAAACCUCACCAGGUCUUGACAUGCUUUUGCAAAGCUGUAGAAAUACAGUGGAGGUUAUCAGAAGCACAGGUGGUGCAUGGUUGUCGUCAGCUCGUGUCGUGAGAUGUUGGGUUAAGUCCCGCAACGAGCGCAACCCUUGUUGUUAAUUGCCAUCAUUAAGUUGGGGACUUUAGCAAGACUGCCAAUGAUAAAUUGGAGGAAGGUGGGGACGACGUCAAAUCAUCAUGCCCCUUAUGACCUGGGCUACAAACGUGAUACAAUGGCUGUUACAAGG
rnacentral:rRNA from 1 species